UUCCUUCAUCUCUCUGAGCUUUGCUGUCCUCAUCUGUAAAAUGGGGAUAAUGAUACCCAUCUCUAAAAUAUGUUCUGAGAAGUAGAUUAGAUAAAUAGAGAUUAUACAUAUUAAGUAUUUAGUGCCCUCAAUGUCAAUUAACAUUGUUAUUAAUUAUAUUGUUAUUACGAAUGACUAAUAAUGACACUCAGGAUUAUUACUAAUGCUACUAUAAGUAAAAAAAAAGCCCAAUUAAAAUUUUUUACUGAGGGAAAUAUCAACAGUUUUAUGAGAGGUAAAUAAAGAAGAGUAACACUGGGUAAGAAAGUAUAUGCACGUGGCCUCAUUUAAUAUUCAAGCAGCUUCACAAGGCAGGCCUUAUUAUCCCCAUUAUACAGAUGGGGAAGUUGAGGCUCCUGGAAGUUGCCUCCAACACACACUGAGUUAGUACCUGGUGUCCUGACCUCCUUUCUUCAAAGUGUCUCUUAAGCUCCAGCUACUCCACACCUGCCAGCCUCAGCAGAGAUGCCUGUAUCUAUUAGGGAAUGCCUUUUCUUCCCCUAGGCUCACCGAAUUACAGGAAAAUGGGAGAGCUCUAGAAAGUGGAUAAAGGUUACCUCCUCCAGGCAGUUUCCUUAUUCUCUCCCUCCUCCCCUUGUAGAACAAACCCUCCCUCUUUGUUCUUCCGGUGCCUGGAGCGUGUGACUGCACACCCUUGUAGGCUGUGUCUCUCCUCCAGGGAGUGUGCUUCUCUGAUGCAGACCCUGUACACUUUUUCACCAUGGGAGGGUAAUGAGAAAUCACAUGUCCUGAACUUGGACUCAGAGAACAGGGAACUCUUCGGUGGGCGGUAGUGUUAUGGCUCGGGAGAUAGUGGAAGACAGAGGAGCCUGGUGUACUGCAGUCCAUGGGAUUGCAGAGUCAGAUGCGACUUAGCCACUGAACAACAACAGCAAGUGUUAUGCAGCCGAUAUGCCAUCUGAGGAACCUGGACUCUUCGAUUUGAAAUGACUCUGAGGGCCCUUCAGGUAUGUAUGUUCACCUGACAGAUGAUGAAUUGUGUGCCAUGAACAAAAGAUGUGGCUCCCAUUCUCC
rnacentral:lncRNA from 1 species